AGCACAGAAGCUGCUGCCUCGCACAGGAGCAAGUUACCGCGUUCAGCUAAUGUGCAGUAACUUGUUCCUGUGAGAGGUAGCGGCUCCUGGCU
rnacentral:pre_miRNA from 1 species